GUCACAAUCGAUCCAAAAAGUAACGUUGUUACAGCCGACAGUUGCCGAAAAAAAAAAUCUGAACGCGAAAAAAAGAAGAAUAUUUAGCAGAGAAAAUACCAGCAAACACUGUCAUGCCAUGGAUAUGCAGACAACUUGAUUGACGAAUUCCUAACUCGUCAUAAAUCAAUUCCUGAAUCUGCACCAUUGAUGAGGAGAAUAGUGAUUUGGACAUAAGACAUUCAAUCGACAGAGCUCACAAUGAGGAUCUCGGGAAGAAAAUAAGAAAAUUUGGCGAAACCUUUGAACAGAAAACAGCGAUGAAAACAGAGUGCAAUGGAUAUAAUGUCAUGUAGAGUUUGAAAGAAAAAGUAUUUAAAAAAUCUUGCACAUGUGGAGAGAACUGUCUAGGUCAUGACAAUUCAAAAGAAGUACAAAAUUCCAUCUUGACUACCAAUGAAUUAUCAAAAGAUAGAGAUAUGAUUAUUAUUGGUAAACUUUCAGAGUUUUGGCAGCAGUAUACAGCCCCCCCCCCCCCCCCCCCCCCGUUUUUUGCAGGACCACAAUGGAAACUAGCUAUAUGCUAAUUUGUGUCAUCCUGGAUAAAUAAAGGCUAUUAUUACAGUGUGAAGUCUUUUUCGGGUCAUAGAUGUUGUGGAAAGUCCAACAUCUUCAUCAUAAUUAUACACUAAUGAUACAGACGAAUAUUCUUGUAUUUCUUUAAAACUAUAGUUUGAGUUUUCUUUUAUUUGAGCAAUCAAAAUUUUAGUAAAAUCUCAACCUUAAGUCGAAGUUUCGACAUAAUAUGGAAGUUUUCUUCGAGAAAUCCAGGUGAAAUUUCAUGAAAGUGGUAUGACUGAAAGACAUUUACCAUUACCUUGAAUUCUGCUUCUGAAUCAUGGCCGUCAAAGGCAUACGAAAAAUACAACUUACAAGACCUCAGAUUUUCAUCUCCAGGUUUGCAUGGCGGAUUAUCUACAUGUAAAUUUCAAUAUAUUUGAUGUGAUAGUUCCAUAUAGGGUAGAUUUAAGUUUCCAUAUCCAUGGUUUACUCGUAAUAUUUGUACAACUGUCGUUUUGGAAUACUUCAUAGAUCAAUCUAUACACAGUGAAGCUGUUUGUUAAGAGUGAUACAUAAGAUACAGAGAGAUAAUUCAUUCUGCUGAAGCCCACCAUCAGACCAGAGGAUUUGACAACAGGAACUUAAUGCCUGACAUUCCUCCCCGCGGAUUGCCUUUGGAGCGAUGCUACCUGUUCCGCAUGGUCCGUGACCCAAACAAGGAGACCACUUGUCCAAAUGUUGAAGAGUCAUGAUGGUGAAAUUCUGUUGUUGAUGAUUUACGAUAUUCAUUUCUCUUGUCCAUAAUUGAUCACUAUUUCAGAAAUCAACUUAGCAUUGUUUAUAUAGUCAUUAAAAUGGUCACCAUUGGUAUAGUCUUUGAUUACAUUUGAUAAAAUUAAUGUGCAUUGAA